rnacentral:rRNA from 1 species
UACGUAGGGCGCAAGCGUUAUCCGGAAUUAUUGGGCGUAAAGAGCUCGUAGGCGGUUUGUCGCGUCUGCCGUGAAAGUCCGGGGCUCAACUCCGGAUCUGCGGUGGGUACGGGCAGACUAGAGUGAUGUAGGGGAGACUGGAAGUUCCUGGUGUAGCGGUGGAAUGCGCAGAUAUCAGGAGGAACACCGAUGGCGAAGGCAGGUCUCUGGGCCACUACUGACGCUGAGAAGCGAAAGCAUGGGGAGCGAACAGG